rnacentral:misc_RNA from 1 species
UAUUUUCAUCAAAAUAAUCUUCAUUCACCCCGCAAUCAAUGCUUAUGGAGCCUUUGAAUUGGACAUCAAAACAGUAUUAGAUAUGCCAAAUAACAUACAUAAACCCAUUUCUCAACUAUUUUUUAUUACAACUGAUAAACUCAAGACUUACAGGUCUAGAGACAGUUUAGUACUACUAGGUUAAAACUAAUUGAUUGAUAAAUAAACUCUUCAGUCAUGAUUUUAAUGAAGCAGUAGAUUAUUUAACUCAUAAAAAAUAAUAAUUAAUUGGGUAACAAAAUUAACUAAGAAAGUGGAUUGGAUCUGUAACUUCCCAGGCACAACGGCCUAAAUAAAAUGGUGAUAACACCCUUACUAGGCCUAGGAUAUACAAACCUUUUGACAUUUUUAUAUCCAACUGAUGUGGAUAUGACAGGAUUUACCUGGGUUCCUGGCAGCGAGCUUUCUUCUUCCAGCGGGUUCA